rnacentral:rRNA from 1 species
GCAUCAAGUCUGCUGUCAAAGGUCGGAGCUUAACUCCGGUUCGGCAGUGGAAACUGGUGCGCUAGAGGGCGACAGGGGUAGAGGGAGUUCCCAGUGUAGCGGUGAAAUGCGUAGAGAUUGGGAAGAACACCGGUGGCGAAAGCGCUCUACUGGGUCGCACCUGACCCUCAGGGACGAAAGCUAAGGUAGCGAAAGGGAUUAGAUACCCCUGUAGUCUUAGCCGUAAACGAUGGAUACUAGGCGUGGCUUGUAUCGACCCAAGCCGUGCCGAAGCUAACGCGUUAAGUAUCCCGCCUGGGGAGUACGCACGCAAGUGUGAAACUCAAAGGAAUUGACGGGGGCCCGCACAAGCGGUGGAGGAUGUGGUUUAAUUCGAUGCAACGCGAAGAACCUUACCAGGGCUUGACAUCCCGCGAAUCUCGGUGAAAGCCGAGAGUGCCUUCGGGAGCGCGGAGACAGGUGGUGCAUGGCUGUCGUCAGCUCGUGUCGUGAGAUGUUGGGUUAAGUCCCGCAACGAGCGCAACCCUCGUCCUUAGUUGCCAGCAUUGAGUUGGGCACUCUAGGGAGACUGCCGGUGACAAACCGGAGGAAGGUGAGGAUGACGUCAAGUCAGCAUGCCCCUUAUGCUCUGGGCAACACACGUCCUACAAUGGUCGGGACAAAGGGGAGCGAGCUCGCGAGAGUCAGCGAAUCCCAGCAAACUCGGCCUCAGUUCAGAUUGCAGGCUGCAACUCGCCUGCAUGAAGGAG